GGAGGAGCUUGACGAGGGGGCGGGCUGCAGGUCACGCAGGACAUCUGCCAGUGGCCCACUGUAGGAUUUCUGCUGGGUUCUGGGAUCGCUGAUAACGGUUUCCAGCGGUUCUUUUGUGCGAUUGGGGUACCUGAAAUAAGUAGCAGCAGAUAUUUAUUGUGCGUUUCAAUGCUUUCGCAUAUAAUAUAUAGUCUAAUAAUAUUCCGAUGGGAUAGGUGAAAUGAUAAACGUCCCUUAAAUUAAACGAAAAUUAAAACGAAAAAAAACGAGAGGCACGGAGGAAAAUAUCGUCUCUCGAAAUUCAUCUGGAACUUGUAAAUAUUUUCGUUGGAUUGUUUUUGUUGUUUUCUGCUAGUUUUAUUGAUCUAGAAUAUUCGAGUUUACGCUGUUUUGCUGGUCACAUAAUUGACGGAUAAAUGAAAGCUGUUUUCGGUUUGCAAGCUCACAUAGGAACCAUAUAUUUGAGGUAGCAUAAAAAUAAUAUUAAUACAUUAACGACUACUGACGUAAUAUCGCGUCUCUCCAAGGCGAAAACAUGUCCAAGUAUAAGCUAGUCGUGCCAAGCUGAUUAUGAAUAUCUACAAGGAAAGAAGGAUCUCUUGUGUUUAGUUUAAUUAAUAAUAAUAACCGACGAUUUUCGUACAAUUACUGGCUGUGAGUAUGUUAAGAUACAAUGUACGAUAUCUUAGUGAAACGGCUUCUUAGUGACGACUUCUUAGUGAAACGUUAAAAAUGAUCGAACUAUCUUCGUUUCAAACGAAUGACCGCACUUUUGGAAGUAUAUUUUCUCAAACCUUUUUUUAUCCACCAAAUGGAAGUUAUUCGACGAAUUAACGCGUUGGUCAUGCAUGUAAAUGUAUUUCAAAUCGAAGGUAAUUUUAUUUCGAUGCGAAUAACUUUCCUUUUCCUUCUAUUAAGGCUUUUCAUUGCAGUAACCUACAUACAACUUUAGGAAUCCAAUUAUUUCUUGGAUUGGAUUAAAGUAACUUUAAAUCAACAUUUAUAUUCCCUUUAUACUUCAUGUUCUUUAUUGUUAUAUGGAGAUCGAAUGAUAUAUACGUAUACUCUUCCUCUUAUGUAAAUCAAAGUAUCAUGGUCCAGGUACUUUAUUUUGUUUCUUUAUAUGCAAUUCGUUUCCACAAUGAAGAAUAUGAUGACCUAUUAAAGUCUUCUAUUUUGCUGGUGCAUUUAUAAUAAAUUCAAUCUUUCCAAAAAUAUACGCAGCGUUAAGAAAAAUAAGUUAAGUCUCUAAAGGUUUACAUUCGCUAACAAGGGAAGCUUCUGAUUUGACCCUCACCGAUUUCAAUAAAAGCUCUCAUCUGUUUCCUUUCACGAGUAUUGUACUAUUCUACUGUAGAAAAAAAAAGAAGAGCGAUAAACGCAAAACAUGUAAAACAAGUUUCUUUGUAUCUUUCAAUAGUUGUGGAUAUUUCGUAACAUAGAUUUUGUUUAUUAAUGUUCGCUAUCAAGUUUUCGUAGAAGCAUAUGUCUAAUAUUGGAAGGGACGUAAGAAAGCGUCUAUGAUGGAUUAUCACGCUGGCAGAGCGACGAUUUCGAUCUUUAUAACCGGAAUCCAGAAAUCGGGUUUGCCGAUUUCAAUAUGGAACAAUGCCAAAAUAGCGGAGAUUUGCAUGAUCUCUUACAAAGUAUGAAUAUUGAACGAUCUUGCACGUAUUCGUGAAAUAUAAUAUAAGCGAGAGAUUUAUCAUUGUUAUUGGAAUUUGGGAGUAUUUUUGUUCCAUUUCCAUUUUAAAUACCAGUGAUUUAUCGUAGUCGUUACUUAUUAAUCAAAACUUUAAGACUUGAAUAAUUGAAUAUAGGUUGUGCCAAUCUCAAUAUCGAUAUCUGUUUUUUCUGAUUUAGAUAUUGAAAGAACGCUAAGCACAGAAUAACAUUAUUUUUAUUCUCUGCGUAGAAGAUAAUAUAAUUUCUAUACUUCUACGUCAUAAAUGUUUGUUAUUAUGAAAUAAUUACAUAACCGUAGAGACAAAUGAUUUAACACAAAUUCGAUGCAACUAGAUUAAUUUACAAUAGACAAAUUUAUGAAAACAGAUUUAAAUAUGUUUGAUGGGUGAUAAUGGUUAUUAUAAAAGUUGAUAAACUGUUCGUUCGUUCGACCGUUUUCACUGAAGUAAUAAAAUAUCAAAUGCAU
rnacentral:lncRNA from 11 species